rnacentral:rRNA from 1 species
AUUGAACGCUGGCGGCAGGCCUAACACAUGCAAGUCGAGCGGAUGAAGGGAGCUUGCUCCUGGAUUCAGCGGCGGACGGGUGAGUAAUGCCUAGGAAUCUGCCUGGUAGUGGGGGAUAACGUCCGGAAACGGGCGCUAAUACCGCAUACGUCCUGAGGGAGAAAGUGGGGGAUCUUCGGACCUCACGCUAUCAGAUGAGCCUAGGUCGGAUUAGCUAGUUGGUGGGGUAAAGGCCUACCAAGCCGACGAUCCGUAACUGGUCUGAGAGGAUGAUCAGUCACACUGGGACUGAGACACGGUCAAGACUCCUACGGGAGGCAGCAGUGGGGAAUAUUGGACAAUGGGCGAAGUCCUGAUCCAGCCAUGCCGCGUGUGUGAAGAAGGUCUUCGGAUUGUAAAGCACUUUAAGUUGGGAGGAAGGGCAGUAAGUUAAUACCGUGCUGUUUUGACGUUACCAACAGAAUAAGCACCGGCUAACUUCGUG